rnacentral:rRNA from 1 species
UUAUUGGAGAGUUUGAUCCUGGCUCAGGAUGAACGCUGGCGGCGUGCCUAAUACAUGCAAGUCGAGCGAAUGAAUUAAGAGCUUGCUCUUAUGAAGUUAGCGGCGGACGGGUGAGUAACACGUGGGUAACCUGCCCAUAAGACUGGGAUAACUCCGGGAAACCGGGGCUAAUACCGGAUAACAUUUUGCACCGCAUGGUGCGAAAUUCAAAGGCGGCUUCGGCUGUCACUUAUGGAUGGACCCGCGUCGCAUUAGCUAGUUGGUGAGGUAACGGCUCACCAAGGCAACGAUGCGUAGCCGACCUGAGAGGGUGAUCGGCCACACUGGGACUGAGACACGGCCCAGACUCCUACGG